AAACUAACAAGGAUUCCCCUAGUAACUGCGAGUGAAGCGGGAAAAGCUCAAAUUUAAAAUCUGGCGGUUUCACCGUCCGAGUUGUAAUCUGGAGAAGCAUUUUCCGCGUUGGACCGUGUACAAGUCUCUUGGAAUAGAGCGUCAUAGAGGGUGAGAAUCCCGUCCAUGACACGGACUACCAGUGCUUUGUGAUAUGCUCUCAAAGAGUCGAGUUGUUUGGGAAUGCAGCUCAAAAUGGGUGGUAAAUUCCAUCUAAAGCUAAAUAUUGGCGAGAGACCGAUAGCGAACAAGUACCGUGAGGGAAAGAUGAAAAGCACUUUGGAAAGAGAGUUAAACAGUACGUGAAAUUGUUGAAAGGGAAACGCUUGAAGUCAGUCGCGUUGUCCGGGACUCAGCCUUGCUAUUUGCUUGGUGUACUUCCUGGUUGACGGGUCAACAUCAAUUUUGGCUGGUGGAUAAAGGCCGAGAGAAGGUGGCAUCUUCGGAUGUGUUAUAGCUCUUGGUUGUAUACGCUGGCUGGGAUUGAGGUCUGCAGCACGCCUUUUUGGCCGGGGUUCGCCCACGUAACGUGCUUAGGAUGUUGGCAUAAUGGCUUUAAGCGACCCGUCU
rnacentral:rRNA from 1 species